AUCCGACCGACGAGUCCCAAAUAGGACAAAACACACGUCCUGGAU
rnacentral:hammerhead_ribozyme from 1 species